rnacentral:tRNA from 1 species
CGCGGCGUAGAGCAGCUCGGUAGCUCGCCAGACUCAUACUCUGGAGGUCGUGGGUUCAAAUCCCACCGCCGCAACUA